rnacentral:rRNA from 1 species
UACAGAGGUGGCAAGCGUUGUUCGGAAUUACUGGGCGUAAAGGGCGCGUAGGUGGCCUUCUUAGUCGGACGUGAAAUCCCCAGGCUUAACCUGGGAACUGCGUCUGAUACUGGAAGGCUCGAGUUCGGGAGAGGAAUGUGGAAUUCCAGGUGUAGCGGUGAAAUGCGUAGAUAUCUGGAGGAACACCGGUGGCGAAGGCGGCAUUCUGGACCGAAACUGACGCUGAGGCGCGAAAGCCAGGGGAGCAAACGGG